UGCUCCCCUCUCCAACCCUAACUCACUGCCCCUCAUCCUCCGCCAGCACAAACCACACAGCCGCCGGCACUCUAUCGCUCGCCCCCGCUAGGCCAUGCCCUCCUCCGAGAACCGACGAGGGGCUUCACUGGCAGCACCACACCUUCUCCUAGAUUAGUAGCGGUCAGAUCGACGCCGUCGUGGCCUCUCUCUGGACCAUCGUCUGCCCCGGCCGGAUCAACAUUGAGGUUCUGAGAUCGAUGUCGUCCGUCUGCCAUCUGCGCGGCCGAAGUGGAGCGGUGUGGCCACGGACAAUAGCUGUGUGGUGCGAGCAUCGCCGAGGUGGAGGGCGAGCCUUGGGCGAAGGCGCAUCAGCAUGAGCUGCCGAUGUGGGGUAGGGCAGGGUACCGUGGCCACAGAUGACAAGGGAGCUGUUGACCAGGUUAUGUAUCACAUUUACUGGAGUUGUGGGUUACUUGAAAGAGGGGUCAGUAGCUCUGAGGCACAUUUUUAUCAAGGUUCAUAGCAAGUUGAGUCCAUCCCUCCUGCGAGUACCUCCAAUUUUUAGUGUACUCAGCUACAUGUCUGUACAGGCCGUCUGAUGAUGCACUUAACUACUUAUACCUUAUUGCUGUCAUAGCUUUGUACAGGCUGUCUGAUGAUGCACUUAACAUGUUUCUUUUUCAUAGGUUGAGCUGCUACAGAUUUUUUAUUUUGUAUGGACCAAAAACUGCCCGUGUGCAUGUUCAUUCUAGCUUUAGUGGAUAAGGGCAGACCCUUGAAUUGUUUAGUAAUAUUUUAUUGUCGAUGGUGUCAUAUGAUAUUUUUCUCUUUCUAAGUUGCUGGUUCCUUUUAAAUGUUACAAUAUGUGCUACAUUAGUUGGGUAUGUGCACAGGCACAAUAGAUUCUUUUUUAGGAUACCUCUGUCCAAGCUUUGACUCGGUUUUCUAUAGCUAACAUAAUACUUCUGAUAAUUAUGGGAAACUCACUGAGUAGGCUGGUGCUACAUAUUUAAUGAAUGAUAGUUAUAUUGUAACAAACUUAGCUGAGCUCACCUUCACAAGUUAGAGUGGCAAAGUAUUGUACUAUUUUCAUAAGUGCAGAAGAAAAAUGGUUUGAUUUCCCUUAGUUUUCAAAGGCCAUUUUGCUUUUUUUGGGCACUUUGUAUUUCUGUCUUAUGAGUAGCAUGUGGUUCCUUUUUCAGCAUGAUUUCAUCCGCCACAAAGCUUGGCAGUGAACUGGUAAAUAAGGGGGUGACUACUUGCAGUUGAGGGUUUGUCUUUAAGUAAAUGCGGCUCCGGCAUCAGUAAGUCCAACCUCCUCUCCCGCUUCACCAGGCGGGUACCGGGCGUUAGCGUCGUCGAGUUCGCCACCCGCAGUCUCUAGGUCGACGGCAAGGUCAUCAAGGUCCAGAUUUGGGACACCGUCAGCUAAAGGCUCUAAACUUCAGAGAGGAAAAACUGAAGCAGCUAGACUGAAGCAGUUGGGUACUUGCUAAUCACUAGAAUGCCAUUAUGCCUAUUUGCUGCUUGAGACCCUACAUUUGUAAUGAAUUGAUAGAUUGAUGUAAUGAUAUUGUAUUUACUGUGAAGAUGUUAAUUCAUUUGGAUCUGAUGUUUUAUAUGUUGGAAAAUUAUUUGGAUGCAAUUA